rnacentral:misc_RNA from 1 species
GAUGAAGAACGUAGCGAAAUGCGAUAAUUAAUGUGAAUUGCAGAAUUCCGUGAAUCAUCGAGUCUUUGAACGCACAUUGCGCCUCAUGGCAUUCCGUGAGGCAUGCCCAUCUCAGCGUUAGAAAAUAUUCUCAAAUUUUAGUUUUGUGCUAAAAUUUGGAUCAUGUCAAAGAAGCUAUUACUAUUAUUGUGAUCGCUCUUUGGAAAUUGAUAGGUCUUUGAGUUGCUACUCAUAGAACGUGAUGAAUCUUUCUUCGUUCUAUUGUAAUUCACUAUGGUAGUCCUAAAACUUGUAUGCCUGUGGCAUAUCUUGUAAUUUGACCUGAGAUUGGGUAGGGAUACCCGCUGAACUUAAGCAUAUCAAUAAGCGGAGGA